ensembl:lncRNA
UACUGAUACAUCAAAGUGUUAGAAUGCCACUAAAUUGGGAUUAUUGAAGAUUAAGCACAUAUUUAAGACUUUAAAAGUUUGCUGUUGUUGUUGUUCAUAUGACAUUAAAGGCUGCGGUUAACCAGAAUGACAAAAUGCACGAAAGGGGAAUUCAUGUCUGGAAUUUACAUUCUUAUCGCGCAUGCGCAUUUACUCCCACGUAUAUUAAUGGCAGUAGAGUUUCGUUUUCAGAUGCCAUCCGAUUCGAACCACUUUACUUUGUGGCAUUAUUGGUAUUAUUUGUGAUUACUCAUAGAUGGACAGCACGGUUGUUAAAUCCUCCGAUAAGCAGCUAAAGUGCUAUUUGGGCUUCCUAAGUAAGUGUAUGACUGGGCAUUUGGUUCAAAGGAUGUCCAACUGUUUGUCCCGAUCCCGCACAAUCACGGCGUAUGAAGCACAGUUUAUCACAUCCCAGCCCACGGACAUGCAGAAAGCCUCCAGGCUGAUACAGAUUGUCAUUAAAAAAGGCCAAAAUGCAUGCAGUUCGUUCCUCACAUGCCUUGGGAUUUGUGACCCGGUGUUGUAUGAGAAUGUUACAGGAUUUCCAGCACAAUUUAAGCAAGAGGACCAUCAACAUGAAGAGGAAAUUCCUUUUUCAGAAAAAUUGCAAUUUACACCUUGUAUUAUAAACAUACAAAACUCUUCCCUGACCAACUGUAUUAUUGGGAACAACAAUAGCCAAUGCAUUACCUGUGACCAGCAUUAUUUGCUCACUCAGAAUGAUGCAAACAAUGUGAAUGAAAUGGCGGACAGUCAGAGCCAUGAUCAGCUGAUCCCAGUGCAGGAGACAAUAAGUGGCAACAGCAUUCACAUGGAGAGAUCCAACAUAGAGUAUGUUAUUAUAGGUGACCAUAACAGUAUGACAGUCACUGAGAGCUCGGAGGCUGAGGAAGAUACAGAGAUUGAGCCUGAAGUGAUUAGUUAA